rnacentral:rRNA from 1 species
GUGCUGAAAGCAUCUAAGCACGAAACUUGCCCCGAGAUGAGUUCUCCCUGAGACUUUAAGUCUCCUGAAGGAACGUUGAAGACGACGACGUUGAUAGGUCGGGUGUGUAAGCGCAGCGAUGCGUUGAGCUAACCGAUACUAAUGAACCGUGAGGCUUAACCUU